rnacentral:rRNA from 1 species
AGACAGAUCUCUUUGAGGCCUGUUAUCGGAAUGGGUACAAUUUAAACCCUUUAACGAGGAUCUAUGAGAGGGCAAGUCUGGUGCCAGCAGCCGCGGUAAUUCCAGCUCUCAAAGUGUAUAUCGUCAUUGCUGCGGUUAAAAAGCUCGUAGUUGAAUCUGAGUUCUUGAACGCGGUACUCCUUGUGAGUAACUGUGAUUCGGAACUGUUCUGUCGGUUUUCUCUUGUUAGCCUUAAUUGGUUGGCUUGAGUGGCUGGCGCUUUUACCUUGAAUAAAUUAGAGUGCUCAAGACAGGCGUUUAGCUUGUAUAUCUGUGCAUGGAAUAAUAGAAUAGGACUUCGGUUCAUUCUGUUGGUCUUAGGAUCGAAGUAAUGAUUAAGAGGGACCUACGGGGGCAUCCGUAUCGCUGCGUGAGAGGUGAAAUUCUUGGACCGCAGCGGGACGUCCAAUUGCGAAAGCAUUUGCCAAGAAUGUCUUCAUUAAUCAAGAACGAAAGUCAGAGGAUCGAAGGCGAUUAGAUACCGCCCUAGUUCUGACCGUAAACGAUGCCAACUAGCGAUCAGGUGGUGGUAGUUUAGCCCUGCCUGGGAGCUUCCCGGAAACGAAAGUCUUCGGGUUCCGGGGGUAGUAUGGUUGCAAAGCUGAAACUUAAAGGAAUUGACGGAAGGGCACCACCAGGAGUGGAGCCUGCGGCUUAAUUUGACUCAACACGGGAAAACUCACCCGGCCCGGACACUGUUAUGAUUGACAGAUUGAUAGUUCUUUCUUGAUUCGGUGGUUGGUGGUGCAUGGCCGUUCUUAGUUCGUGGAGUGAUUUGUCUGGUUUAUUCCGAUAACGAACGAGACUCUAACCUGCUAAAUAGUUUCGCGAUGGUUUAGUCGUGUUAACUUCUUAGAGGGAUCAGUGGUGUUUAGCCACGUGAAAUUGAGCAAUAACAGGUCUGUGAUGCCCUUAGAUGUUCGGGGCUGCACGCGCGCUACACUGGAAAGAUCAGCGUGCUUGAAUAAUUCCUGGACCGAAAGGUUCGGGUAAACCCUUGAAAACUUUCCGUGAUUGGGAUAGGGAAUUGCAAUUAUUUCCCUUCAACGAGGAAUUCCUAGUAAGUGUGAGUCAUCAGCUCACGUUGAUUACGUCCCUGCCCUUUGUACACACCGCCCGUCGCUGCCCGGGACUGAGUUGCUUCGAGAAAUGCGGGGACUGUUGCUAUGGGGCUUCGUGCUUCGUGGUGAUAGAAACCGCCUUAAUCGCAGUGGCUUGAACCGGGCAAAAGUCGUAACAAGGUGCGAUUAGGAGAACCUGACCGCG